rnacentral:lncRNA from 1 species
CCUCCGCCUCCGCCCCCGCCGCUGCCGCGUGACUGAGCCUCGUUGACCGUGAUGUUACGCCCGUCGAGAUUCUGGCCGUUCAUCGCCUCAAUCGCAUCCCUCAUGGCUUGCUCAUCCCUGAAGGUCACGAACCCGAAUCCCCUGGAUCUCCCAGUCUCGCGAUCGUUAAUGAUCUGAAUGAUGAAUUCACCACAAGAGAAGAAAAAGAAACAUCAGAUCCGAAGGCAGAUAGAUCCAGAAUUUAAUCAUUAGAUCUGAAACACAAAAUUAACGAUUCAAUCUUCGUCUCUUUGGGGAUAAAAAGAGGAAGACAGAACGUACCGUUUCAGGGUAUUUCGAAUAAUAGUAACACAAAUAGUAACAGUAACAAGAGUAACAGAGUAACACAGAGUAACAGUAGGUGAAGAUCAAGAGUCAACAAAGCCGAAUCGGGUCGGAUCCGAUCUCUGCGACCACAAACAGACCUUC